rnacentral:lncRNA from 1 species
CAGACCGGCCGUCGCUCUCACCGGCAGUAACAGGUCGAUUUUGUCUUCUGAAGCGAUACAAGUCGUCACGACUGUAUGGGACGGCAUGCUUGCAAGACAGGUCCCGCCGAGCAACACCUGUUCACAUGGCUGUGGUUCGGAGGGCUGUCGUUCCGAACCAUUGCCAAGCGGACAAGACGCAGUCCGAGCACGGUGCAGAAGUGGGUGAGGCGCCUGCUGUGGAAAAACGUUCACAGAAGCAGAUACUACCAGAUGGCGGCGGCCGCUGCACCUAAAACCCCAUAUAUGGUCAUGGAUGAUGUAUAUUUCCAAAACAGCAUCCAAGAGUUUUCACAUAUCAGGCUGAGUGGCGAUUGUGUUUGCGGAUUAAGCAAUAUAGGAUUUUGCACAUGCUAUAACAAUUUCACUUAUUCAAAAUCACUGACGCUUUGAAUUAACAUAUCAAAUAAAUAAGGAUUUUAUAAUA